GGCAGCAAUAGCAGCAGGAGCUGUGUUGUCGAGCCAAAACUCUGGGAGAGGCCGCUCUGGAAUGCUGGGGCAUGUGAACACAGAUGGAAUUAACUCCAUUUGACUGGGACCCAGCCUAGACAGUCAUGUGAUGCUCCGGAACCGCCUCUCCCUUCCUUACUAGUCCCGGAUCUGGUCCCCUCUGCCUUGGGCCCCCUCCGCCUUGGGCAGCCAAAGCACCCGUAUGAGGACAACAUGGGACUUGUCUGCACAGAUCCUGGUCACACCACUGAAAUCCUCCUCGCCCCUCCCUUGCCCUCGCCCCUCCUCCCUCCGUGCUCUGGAGGGGAAAGACCGGUGCUAGACUCCCGGCUAGGUGGCAACCGACCAAAUCCGGGUCCUGUGAUCUGCAUAAUAGAACCCUGGACGGGACAGGGAUGUGGGUGGUGGCUGGGGAUGGAGCUGGGGAGGAGCGGGGGAGAGACGAAGGGAAGGAGGCUGGAGGGGAGGGAAGGAGGCCGAGAAAAUUGGUUACCCAAAGUCAAAAAUAGCCCCAGUGACUCAGAAAUGGAGCAGUUUGGAAUCACAAUGAUUUCUGGGGAGAGGGCAAGGAGCGGCUGGGGUGGAGGUAGGGGCUGGUCCUUCUUUCUUCCCUUCCAGCAAGCCUGA
rnacentral:lncRNA from 1 species